GGCGGCUGUAGCGCGGUGGUCCCACCUGACCCCAUGCCGAACUCAGAAGUGAAACGCCGUAGCGCCGAUGGUAGUGUGGGGUCUCCCCAUGCGAGAGUAGGGAACUGCCAGAC
rnacentral:rRNA from 5 species